ACCCAGCGAAGCCGCCAGUCUCUGUCUGGGCCGGCUGGCGGGAAUCCUCCCGUUGGGUUCGCCGCUGCUCCUGAUCCUCAGGUCCCAAGCCUUGGUUCUCAGCCUACUUGGCAUGCAGUCCGUAUGCGUGCCUCCUCACCCUCACCUCCUGGAGAGCAGGCCGAAACAGGGAGCCCUCACCGCCCUAUGCCGCCUGCAGUGUGACCACCCCCUGUGAGCAUCCUCCAGGACCCGCGAAAAAAAUCAACAUCUGCCCGCUGCGCUGAAUGGGCUGCUUGCUCCGCGGUUGCCUGUGAGAUCUCCAGGAGUUCUAGCCGUUAACCAGUUCUGAAGCAGUUUUGAAGCCUCCUUUCCCCAUGACUCCACCAAGCAGCACUUAUCUGCUAUUGGCCCUUGAUUCCAGGCCCCCUUCUCCCUCAGAAGGCCCUGUCUUUGGCCCUAAGCUGAGAUUUCCAUUUUCCAAGUAACUUUUAUAUAAUCAAGUAUUUUAAUGAAUAAAAUUAAGAUAUUGGUUUAAUUU